rnacentral:tRNA from 1 species
UUGUUCUUGUAGCUCAGUUGGUUAGAGCGAUGGUCUUAUGAGCCAUAGGUCAUGGGUUCAAGUCCCAUCAGGAACA